GUCUAUGGCCAUGCCACCCUGAACAAGCCCAAUUCUGCCUGAUCCCAUCUGAUCUAGGAGCUAAGCAGGGUAGAGCCUGGUUAGUACUUGGAUGGGAAACCACCAAGGAAGACCAGGUGCUGUAGAUG
ensembl:rRNA 5S_rRNA 5S ribosomal RNA